UACGAAGGGGGCUAGCGUUGCUCGGAAUCACUGGGCGUAAAGCGCACGUAGGCGGCUUUUUAAGUCAGGGGUGAAAUCCUGGAGCUCAACUCCAGAACUGCCUUUGAUACUGAGAAGCUUGAGUCCGGGAGAGGUGAGUGGAACUGCGAGUGUAGAGGUGAAAUUCGUAGAUAUUCGCAAGAACACCCGUGGCUAAGGCGGUUCUCUAGUACGGUACUGACGCUGAGACGCGAAAGCGUAGGGAGCGAACAGG
rnacentral:rRNA from 1 species